rnacentral:rRNA from 1 species
GAUGAACGCUGGCGGCGUGCCUAAUACAUGCAAGUCGAGCGAACGGACGAGAAGCUUGCUUCUCUGAUGUUAGCGGCGGACGGGUGAGUAACACGUGGAUAACCUACCUAUAAGACUGGGAUAACUUCGGGAAACCGGAGCUAAUACCGGAUGAUAUUUUGAACCGCAUGGUUCAAAAGUGAAAGACGGUCUUGCUGUCACUUAUAGAUGGAUCCGCGCUGCAUUAGCUAGUUGGUAAGGUAACGGCUUACCAAGGCAACGAUGCAUAGCCGACCUGAGAGGGUGAUCGGCCACACUGGAACGGAGACACGGUCCAGACUCCUACGGGAGGCAGCAGUAGGGAAUCUUCAGCAAUGGGCGAAAGCCUGACGGAGCAACGCCGCGUGAGUGAUGAAGGUCUUCGGAUCGUAAAACUCUGUUAUUAGGGAAGAACAUAUGUGUAAGUAACUGUGCACAUCUUGACGGUACCUAAUCAGAAAGCCACGGCUAACUACGUG